UACAGAGGGGGCAAGCGUUGUUCGGAAUUACUGGGCGUAAAGGGCGCGUAGGCGGCCUGUUAAGUCGAACGUGAAAUCCCCGGGCUCAACCCGGGAACUGCGUCCGAUACUGGCAGGCUUGAAUCCGGGAGAGGGAUGCGGAAUUCCAGGUGUAGCGGUGAAAUGCGUAGAUAUCAGGAGGAACACCGGUGGCGGAAGGC
rnacentral:rRNA from 1 species